CUUUUUCCUUCCCCUUUGUCUCUGUGAGGUCGGGGUGUCCCAACAUGGGGACCCUGCUGAGCCACACCGUCUCCUCCUGCUCCCCGGGCCCCCCCCGGCCGUGAGGGGACAGCGGGGGCCGGGGGGAGCGCGGGGGGCUCCCCUGGGGGACGUGCUGACCCCCCGCGAGCGGGCCCUGCUCCGUGCCUCCGACCCCACUUCCAGGAGGCUGCCGGCGGAGGUAUGGGCGACCCCGCACUCCCACGGCUCCCCGGGCUCCGUGGCUGGUGGGGUCCAGCCCCUCCUGCCCUCAGCACCCCCCUGUGCAGCAGGGAGAGCCCCUCCGGAGGCCGGUCCCACCAGGAGGACACCAGGAGCUGCUGGAGGCCCACCAGAGCCAUGUGGCCGAAAUCCGGGCCAGGACCCAGCAGCUGGAGCAGCAGAGGGAGGGUAGGUGCUGGUGGGGGGUUUUGGGGAGAUGGGGGGAGCCCCUUCAACCUUCCUCAGGGCUGUGCCGGCGGCUGGCGGAGCUGGGAAGGGGGGUGGCCACAGACCCCCACCCCGAGCGGGAGGGACCGGAGCUGAGCCCGGCCCCACAGGCCCCGAGGGAUGAGGUUGGACGGCUGCAAGUGACACAGGGAGGGGCUGCCCUCCACCUCGACGCCCUCCUGCCGGCUGCUGGGCCACUUGCCGCCGAGGCCAGGGAGCUGCGACUGUCCUACCUGCGGGGCGGUGGGCACGACCCCACCAUCCUGGCCCAGCUCCUCCAGCUGCAGGCGGAGGCCACGGUGCUGGAGAAAGGGACUACAGGGCCGCGCAGGGGCAGGAGGCCAGAACCCUCUGAUGCUAGUGGACGGGGCCUGGAUGCGGCCCUGCUGGCUGUGGAGCUGGAGAACCAGCGGCUGGAGGACCAGCUCCUGGCACUGAAGGUCAGGAGGGAGAGGAGAGCCAACACCGGGUCACGGGUGACACAGCAGCACGCGGAGGAGCUGGCCCAGCUGCAGGCAGAGGUGGGGAUGCUGCGAUGCCACGUGGAGCAGAGGAGGCCAUGGCUGCCCCCUGCCAUCCUCCCGCCCCCCGUGGCCCCCCUGCUCCCACCAGCCACGGUCUCACCAGAGCUUCUGCCGGUAAGAACCUCAUCCCAGAGCUGUUUCUGGGUCUCCAGAGGCAAAGGGAGAUGGGGGUUGGAUGGGAC
rnacentral:lncRNA from 1 species